GCCCACAGCCAUAUCACCCUGCAGCCCAAGACUGGUUGCCCACUGAAGCAAAGCAGGGUUGAGCCUGGUCAGUACCUGGAUGGGAGACCUCUUGGGAAAACUAGGUUGCUGUUGGAA
ensembl:rRNA 5S_rRNA 5S ribosomal RNA